rnacentral:rRNA from 1 species
AUAUCGCAGGAAGACUACAUACUACCCCGCAAGGGGAGUGGCAGACGGGUGAGUAACGCGUGGGAACAUACCCUUUCCUGCGGAAUAGCUCCGGGAAACUGGAAUUAAUACCGCAUACGCCCUACGGGGGAAAGAUUUAUCGGGGAAGGAUUGGCCCGCGUUGGAUUAGCUAGUUGGUGGGGUAAAGGCCUACCAAGGCGACGAUCCAUAGCUGGUCUGAGAGGAUGAUCAGCCACAUUGGGACUGAGACACGGCCCAAACUCCUACGGGAGGCAGCAGUGGGGAAUAUUGGACAAUGGGCGCAAGCCUGAUCCAGCCAUGCCGCGUGAGUGAUGAAGGCCUUAGGGUUGUAAAGCUCUUUCACCGGAGAAGAUAAUGACGGUAUCCGGAGAAGAAGCCCCGGCUAACUUCGUGCCAGCAGCCGCGGUAAUACGAAGGGGGCUAGCGUUGUUCGGAAUUACUGGGCGUAAAGCGCACGUAGGCGGAUAUUUAAGUCAGGGGUGAAAUCCCAGAGCUCAACUCUGGAACUGCCUUUGAUACUGGGUAUCUUGAGUAUGGAAGAGGUAAGUGGAAUUCCCAGUGUACAGGUGAAAUUCGGAGAUAUUCGGAGGAACACCAGUGGCGAAGGCAGCUUACUGGUGCAUUACUGACGCUGAUGUGCGAAUGCGUGGGGAGCUAACAGGAUUACAUACCCUGGUAGCUCACGCCGUAUACGAUGAAUGUUAGCCGUCAGGGAGCAUACUGCUCCGUGGCGCACCUGAGGUACUACACAUACCGACUGGGGAGUACUCUCGCAAGAGUAAUACUCAUACGACUUGACGAGGGGCCCACACACGCGGUGGAGCAUGUGUUUUGAGUCGAAGUCUCGCGCAUAACCCCUAGCAGCUCAUGACAUUCUACGGUGUGCGUAGUGCACACAUUGUCCUUCCAAUACGCUGGCCCCUCAACAUGUGCUGCAUGGCUUGUCGUCAGCUAGUGUCGGGAGAUGCUGGGUUACUCCCGCUACCAUCUCAGCCGUCGCACUUUAUAACCCCAUUGACUGGUCACUCUACGGGACUGCCGGAGAUAAGCCGAGACGAUGGGGGGGAUGACCUCACCGU